GGCAGCACGGAGCUUGCUCUGGUGGCGAGUGGCGAACGGGUGAGUAAUGCGUCGGAACGUAUCCAAUAAUGGGGGAUAACGCAGCGAAAGCUGUGCUAAUACCGCAUACGCCCUCCGGGGGAAAGCAGGGGAUCGUAAGACCUUGCGUUAAUGGAGCGGCCGACGUCUGAUUAGCUAGUUGGUAGGGUAAAGGCCUACCAAGGCGACGAUCAGUAGCUGGUCUGAGAGGAUGAUCAGCCACACUGGGACUGAGACACGGCCCAGACUCCUACGGGAGGCAGCAGUGGGGAAUUUUGGACAAUGGGCGCAAGCCUGAUCCAGCCAUUCCGCGUGAGUGAAGAAGGCCUUCGGGUUGUAAAGCUCUUUCAGGAGGGAAGAAACGAUUGUGGCUAAUACCCAUGAUUAAUGACGGUACCUUCAGAAGAAGCACCGGCUAACUACGUGCCAGCAGCCGCGGUAAUACGUAGGGUGCGAGCGUUAAUCGGAAUUACUGGGAGUAAAGCGUGCGCAGGCGGUUUUUCAAGUCUGAUGUGAAAUCCCCGGGCUUAACCUGGGAACUGCGUUGGAAACUGAAAGACUAGAGUGCGGCAGAGGGGGGUAGAAUUCCACGUGUAGCAGUGAAAUGCGUAGAUAUGUGGAGGAAUACCGAUGGCGAAGGCAGCCCCCUGGGUCGACACUGACGCUCAUGCACGAAAGCGUGGGUAGCAAACAGGAUUAGAUACCCUGGUAGUCCACGCCCUAAACGAUGUCAACUAGUUGUUGGGGANGGAGACCUCCUUAGUAACGCAGCUAACGCGUGAAGUUGACCGCCUGGGGAGUACNGUCGCAAGAUUAAAACUCAAAGGNAUUGACNGGGGCCCGCACAAGCGGUGGNNUAUGU
rnacentral:rRNA from 1 species